rnacentral:lncRNA from 1 species
AGUACCACAUCCUAAGUGCAACUUGUGUACAUAUGUAUCUUACUAUAACUAUAAGCAUGAUUGCAUCGAGAAUACCUAUAUGGAGAUUUUGAAGAGUCAUUCCACGAUAUUAUAUGAAGAUGUUCAUACCUAUCAAGAAUGAUAAUUUCAAGGUGCGGAAUAUUUAUUCAAAUCAAUAUGGCUGAUUUAUUUAUCAAAUCUCUACAAAAGAUCGUUUUGAAGAUGGUG